UGAGUUCAUGAGUGCCUUCUCUUCGGAGUUGGCCAUCAUACCACCGUGAACUGUGGCUUCGGUAUCACAAACUGUUAGUAAUGAAUGUAAUAUCAUAACAAAAACAAAACUUUUAACAACGGAUCUCUUGGCUCUCGCAUCGAUGAAGAACGCAACA
rnacentral:misc_RNA from 1 species